rnacentral:rRNA from 1 species
AUUGAACGCUGGCGGCAGGCCUAACACAUGCAAGUCGAACGGUAACAGGAAGAAGCUUGCUUCUUUGCUGACGAGUGGCGGACGGGUGAGUAAUGUCUGGGAAACUGCCUGAUGGAGGGGGAUAACUACUGGAAACGGUAGCUAAUACCGCAUAACGUCGCAAGACCAAAGAGGGGGACCUUCGGGCCUCUUGCCAUCGGAUGUGCCCAGAUGGGAUUAGCUAGUAGGUGGGGUAACGGCUCACCUAGGCGACGAUCCCUAGCUGGUCUGAGAGGAUGACCAGCCACACUGGAACUGAGACACGGUCCAGACUCCUACGGGAGGCAGCAGUGGGGAAUAUUGCACAAUGGGCGCAAGCCUGAUGCAGCCAUGCCGCGUGUAUGAAGAAGGCCUUCGGGUUGUAAAGUACUUUCAGCGGGGAGGAAGGGAGUAAAGUUAAUACCUUUGCUCAUUGACGUUACCCGCAGAAGAGGCACCGGCUAACUCCGU